rnacentral:rRNA from 1 species
AGUGGGGAAUAUUGCACAAUGGGGGAAACCCUGAUGCAGCCAUGCCGCGUGUGUGAAGAAGGCCUUCGGGUUGUAAAGCACUUUCAGUUGUGAGGAAAGGGUAGUCGCUAAUAUCGGCUAUCUGUGACGUUAGCAACAGAAGAAGCACCGGCUAACUUCGUGCCAGCAGCCGCGGUAAUACGAGGGGUGCAAGCGUUAAUCGGAAUUACUGGGCGUAAAGCGUGCGUAGGCGGUUAUAUAAGCUAGAUGUGAAAGCCCCGGGCUCAACCUGGGAACUGCAUUUAGAACUGUAUGACUAGAGUACUGUAGAGGGUGGUGGAAUUUCCAGUGUAGCGGUGAAAUGCGUAGAGAUUGGAAGGAACAUCAGUGGCGAAGGCGGCCACCUGGACAGAUACUGACGCUGAGGCACGAAAGCGUGGGGAGCAAA